rnacentral:pre_miRNA from 1 species
UAUCUACUCCCUCCGUUCCAAAUUACUUGUCUUCGAUUUGUCUAGAUACGGAUAUAUCUAGCACUAAAAUGAGUCUAGAUACAUCUGUAUCUAGACAAAUCUAAGACAAGUAAUUCAGAACGGAGGGAGUACCAA